CUCCAGACAUGGCUGCUUCGUGCUUCUUACUACAGAGAUUCUCAAACUUUCUGACGUCAGCUCCACUUUUACCAAAGCAGUUGUGCUUUGCAUGUGCUAGAGGCAACAUCAAAUAUCAAUGAAAUACCAGAGAUCCUUUGUUAGAUUGUUCCAUCCACAGAAAUACAGAGGAGCAGAAAAGUAGUACUGGAUGAAUUGCUUUGGCUAAAUAAGAAUUCACCAGACCCUUCACCCAGACAGACCUUAAACUGAAUCACACCUAACUUACUCCAGACUCCUAAGAUGAAAACAGUUCAGUAAGUUGGUGAAACGAAGAAAUGCUGAACCACAUGAAAAUUAAAGCAAAGAGAGCAAAG